UUUCCACCUUGCAAAUGUCCUGCAACCUGCAUUAUUUUUAGUUCUUUCACUUUGCACUGCUGCCCUUAAUAAUCAACAUAAGCGUACCAAUUAGUUUUAACAAUAAUUGAAACUUGAUGGUGUUUGGGAUAAAAUCUGAACUUUGGGCCAGAGAGAAAGUCGACCCAAACCCAAGGCCCAGAGGAAAACUUAGGAGGCAGGAAAGAGGCUUUCGGUUGGGCACAAGUUACAAAGGCCACCUGCUUACCUACUCAAAGACCACAGG
rnacentral:lncRNA from 1 species